rnacentral:lncRNA from 1 species
ACCACUAAUUGAGGGAGUGAAGAAGGCAGCAGCUCGCUUCUAACUGGACUGCAGCAUAGGGUCCUCAAGAUUCGUCCAUGUCGUAGAGUGUGAACUUCUUACAAGGAGAAGAGUUUUGUUCAUAAGUGUCUCAGAUCUGGGACAGUGUCCUGAGCUGGCAGCAGACCUACCCGACUUUCACUAGAACUCAGCUUUCACAUUCCAGAAAACAUGACCCUUGCUGCCUACAAAGAGAAGAUGAAGGAGCUCCCCCUGGUGUCCCUGUUCUGCUCCUGCUUCCUGGCCGAUCCCCUGAAUAAGUCAUCCUAUAAAUAUGAAGGCUGGUGUGGGCGACAGUGUAGGAGGAAAGAUGAAAGCCAGCGGAGGGACAGUGCUGACUGGAGAGAAAGAAGAGAGCAGGCGGACACGGUGGACCUGAACUGGUGUGUAAUUUCUGACAUGGAAGUCAUUGAGCUGAAUAAAUGCACCUCAGGCCAGUCCUUUGAAGUCAUCCUGAAGCCGCCCUCCUUUGAUGGGGUGCCCGAGUUCAAUGCCUCCCUACCCAGACGGCGAGACCCAUCACUGGAAGAAAUCCAGAAGAAACUGGAAGCAGCUGAGGAGCGAAGGAAGUACCAGGAAGCUGAGCUCCUGAAGCACCUGGCAGAGAAACGAGAACAUGAAAGGGAGGUGAUCCAAAAAGCCAUUGAGGAGAACAACAACUUCAUCAAGAUGGCUAAGGAAAAACUGGCCCAGAAGAUGGAAUCCAAUAAGGAGAACCGGGAGGCCCACCUUGCUGCCAUGUUGGAACGGCUGCAAGAGAAGGACAAGCACGCAGAGGAGGUGCGGAAAAACAAGGAGCUGAAGGAAGAGGCCUCCAGGUAAAGCCCAGAGGCACAGAGGUUUCCAGAAUGCCGGACCGCUCCAGCAGCUCCGCAGUUCCUGAGGCAGCCUCGCCCACCGCUGGCUGCUCUCCCAGCACUGGGGUUUGGGGGGAGGGGGGUGGCCAGGGGCGUUUCCUCUGCUUUUGGUGUUUGUACAUGUAAAGAAUUGACCAGUGAAGCCAUCCUAUUUGUUUCAGGGGAACAAUGAUGGGGUGGGAGAGGGGAGAGGAGAGAGGUUGGGAAAGGGAGAUGGAAGAGGACUCAUGGACAUUGCAACCCAGCCUGGGUCACGUCCUCGGGCUUUUCUUCACAGUGAGCAUCCGGGCACCGCCUUGAGGGAAGUUAAAAACAGGCAGUAGAACUCUGAGGGUAAGGCAGAGCCCUGGGUGGAGCGAGAACUGCAGGGCGUGGCCUGAGACGCCAGCAGGGAGUGGGGCCCUCCACCUGAGGCAGUGGGAUGAGGUCUGAGUGUGUGUGUGUGUUAACCAUUAUCUUUUGAUCAUCAUGACCAAUAAUGAAACAU